GGGGAUGCGGGCUGAGCACUGCACGUACCCCCUAUGUGAGAACAGAAAAUCCCUCCUCUGGAGGCAGAACGCCGCGUUCCGUGUCGGCAAAGACUCCACCCUCCAGGUCUGUGACUCAUGUGAUCUCUUCCGGGAAGCCUUCCUCCAUCCUUCCUUCGGAGCCGGAGCGGGCGGCUGUCCUCCGGCUCCACACCGUACAGGGUUGAAUGGCGUCUGGGACUUCCCACACACAUCAGCUUACCUGGCUGCCUGCCUUCUUGGACGAGGUGCAAAGUGAGGCCAGAGUAUACAACUUCCCUGUGGAAAUAAACAAAGACCACCCAGAUGAAGACAAAGACGUUCUCCAUUCAGAGCUUGCUACAGCAAGAGAGGCAGCCACUCUCACUCGUGUUUGGCAGAGACUCCCAGACAGACGAGGGACUGAGGGGAGCCCCAGAGUGGCCAAAAGGGAAGGCUCAGUUUGUAGCAGAAACUACGCAUGCUCUGCCCAGGAAGCGGCUGAUACCAACGCCAGAGAUUAACAGCAAGCGCCUUUGCAGAUCUUGGUUGACAGACAGGUAAGACAGAGCCAGUGAUGUGCUGGUCAAUAUUUGACAACUCGCUCUGUGGGGGGAAGAUCUGAUUUGUAGCAUUGGUUGGUCCCUAUGGUAUAAAUACCCCUAAGAUGGCUGAUUUCCAGCUUUGCACCUGAUGUCACGAAAGUAGAGCUGGAAAGAGACGCCCUCCCAGGCAGGUGUGAGCCUGCCUUGUGGACCACAGGGAGAGCCCCAGGACAAACAUUCUAAAAGGGCACAGGGUCCUUCAGUUCUGAGAGAUGCAAGGAGAUAAGGACUGGUGUUCACACGGAAGUUGGAAAAUAUUUACUAACCUGCAGCUUGUUGAAAGCCAAGUGGGUACAGGAGGAAAGGUCUCUGAGCAAUGCACAAGGGUCCUUCAGACGGGCCACAGCUGAGGCCACUUCCUACAAAGGCAAGGAGUCCCAGGGCAGAAGGAGACAGGAAGCCCAGUUUUCCUGGUUUGCUUGAGGCUAGGUCCUGUCCUUCUCCUGGUAGAAACAGCCCCUAUCCAGAAGCCGAGGAAGAAUCAGAUUCUGCUGAGCCGCAAAAUCUGGUGGCUGAGGACCUCACUAAAAGAAGAAGUGAAAGAGUAAUUCUUUCUGCAAGACGG
rnacentral:lncRNA from 1 species